UCAGAUAAUAGAGGUUGCAGAUGACAUUAGUAAGUUAAUGGAGUGCCUGUUAGACGUUGAAGUUAACUGAAAGGGGAGUUUGCCGAAAUUCAUUGUUGGAUAACAGUUAACAAUGGGUUGGGACGUAAUUUAAGAGGUUACGGACUGUCGCAAAUGUUUGCGGAGCGCUAUUAUUCAA
rnacentral:ncRNA from 2 species